CCAUGGCUCCACAGCCACUGACAUUUGCAGCUGAAGGCAGAGACAACCACACAGUAGCUAUCAGCAUGGCUGGAAGAGAUUCGCUGCAUACAAUGCCUCCAUUCCAUUGACUCUCUAGAUAAAAGCAGGACUAGAUGACAGACACCCUCUGAAAUGAGAGAAAUUGGAGCAAAAAAAGCCACUCCAACAGGUCCUGCUGACAGAAGCUGAUUUGUGACAAUGACAGGUCCAUCUGAUGGACAGCGUGCUGGGGGAUAAGCGCAAAGAGACCUCUAGCUAAACUCUUACCACCGCUUGCCCCUGAUAUCUGUGGGAGAGAAGAUCCCUGAAUUUAUGUCUCCAGAACUUCCUUUACAGGAAUCCUCUUCCCUUCCUAUAUACCCAACAUAAUCUUCCUCUUUCCUUGAUCCGGUUUUUCACUUCCUAGCACUCACAACCUUUUAUCCCCAAUACACCAUAG